AAUAGAUACCCAGGUAGUCCAUGCCGUAAACGUUGGGCACUAGGUGUGGGGCUCAUUCCACGAGUUCCGUGCCGCAGCAAACGCAUUAAGUGCCCCGCCUGGGGAGUACGGCCGCAAGGCUAAAACUCAAAGGAAUUGACGGGGGCCCGCACAAGCGGCGGAGCAUGCGGAUUAAUUCGAUGCAACGCGAAGAACCUUACCAAGGCUUGACAUGCACGGGAAGCCACCAGAGAUGGUGGUCUCUUUGGACACUGGUGAACAGGUGGUGCAUGGUUGUCGUCAGCUCGUGUCGUGAGAUGUUGGGUUAAGUCCCGCAACGAGCGCAACCCUCGUUCUAUGUUGCCAGCACGUAAUGGUGGGAACUCAUGGGAUACUGCCGGGGUCAACUCGGAGGAAGGUGGGGAUGACGUCAAAUCAUCAUGCCCCUUAUGUCUUGGGCUUCACGCAUGCUACAAUGGCCGGUACAAAGGGCUGCAAUACCGUGAGGUGGAGCGAAUCCCAAAAAGCCGGUCCCAGUUCGGA
rnacentral:rRNA from 1 species